CACACUUUUUAACUGACUGGCACAAGAACAAAAAACGUGCACUUGCUAAAAUUGUUAUUUUUGUCUGUGUAGAUUUUCAGUCACCAGGUCACAACUCUUGUUUUGUUGAGGUUUUUUUUUCACAUGCGACUUCAGCAACUAUGCUAUUAUCGUGACAAGAUAAAACCCUCUGGAUAUACUCGGGGAGGUGGGGGUGGGGGGGGAGAGAAUUGGAUUCUGGCUGUGGCUGAAGAAUCCAGAUAAAGCCAUCACUCACCGUGUGUCGGACUGGUUUGGUUGCCUGCGAGGGAGCAAAGAGAAACUCACAUGAAACUCAAGUCUUGUGGCUUGUGUGUUUACCAGACUCGAACACAUGCUCACAUGUCUCAAGAAUAAUAACAAGAUGAUGAUGAUGUGAAUACAGGUUUGGCCUCCAUUAGGGAAACAAAGUACAGUAUUGUCCAGAUAACACAUGACACAUUCCACAAAAGGUCCAUAUUAGCCAGGCAGCUUUUUGUUUUUGUUUUUAGUGAAAAAAAAAAUAGAGUACAAGUUUGCAAUCAUCUGUAUUUUACAAUAAAAUCAUUGGAUUAGACACAAUAGUAUAUUUACACUGUUCAUGUCAUUUAUAUUUUGGCCUGCUUCGCUUUGACCGAAUGAGAUCUGAAAACCAGCUAAAACGGGCACCUGUGCUAGAAAGAGGGAUGUCUAGCGUCGUGGCUAUAUCGUUAGCAACUUAGCAUGCUAAAUCUGUACAACUAAUCAGUUGUGUAAU